rnacentral:rRNA from 1 species
GAUGCCCUGGCAGUCAGAGGCGAUGAAGGACGUGCUAAUCUGCGAUAAGCGCCGGUAAGGUGAUAUGAACCGUUAUAACCGGCGAUUUCCGAAUGGGGAAACCCAGUGUGACUCGUCACACUAUCAUUAACUGAAUCCAUAGGUUAAUGAGGCGAACCGGGGGAACUGAAACAUCUAAGUACCCCGAGGAAAAGAAAUCAACCGAGAUUCCCCCAGUAGCGGCGAGCGAACGGGGAGGAGCCCAGAGCCUGAAUCAGCAUGUGUGUUAGUGGAAGCGUCUGGAAAGGCGCGCGAUACAGGGUGACAGCCCCGUACACAAAAGCGCAUGUGCUGUGAGCUCGAUGAGUAGGGCGGGACACGUGGUAUCCUGUCUGAAUAUGGGGGGACCAUCCUCCAAGGCUAAAUACUCCUGACUGACCGAUAGUGAACCAGUACCGUGAGGGAAAGGCGAAAAGAACCCCGGCGAGGGGAGUGAAAAAGAACCUGAAACCGUGUACGUACAAGCAGUGGGAGC